rnacentral:rRNA from 1 species
UACGUAGGGUGCAAGCGUUAAUCGGAAUUACUGGGCGUAAAGCGUGCGCAGGCGGUUGUGCAAAACAGAUGUGAAAUCCCCGGGCUCCACCUGGGAACUGCAUUUGUGACUGUACGGCUAGAAUGCGGCAGAGGGGGAUGGAAUUCCGCGUGUAGCAGUGAAAUGCGUAGAUAUGCGGAGGAACACCGAUGGCGAAGGCAAUCCCCUGGGCAUGCACUGACGCUCAUGCACGAAAGCGUGGGGAGCAAACAGG